AAACUCCGCAAUACGCGAAAGCGUGACGGGGGAACUCCAAGUGCGCUCGCGCAAGCGAGUGCUUUUGCAGAGUGCAAACAGCUCUGCGAAUAAAAGCGGGGUAAGACCGGUGCCAGCCGCCGCGGUAACACCGGCCACUUGAGUGGCGACCACUAUUAUUGGGCCUAAAGCGUCCGUAGCCGGUUUAGUAAGUCCUUAGAUAAAUCCACUCGUUCAACGAAUGGAAUUCUAAAGAUACUGCCAGACUCGGGGGCGAGAGAAGUCGGAGGUACUUCUAGGGUAGCGGUGAAA
rnacentral:rRNA from 1 species